UUUGGUUUUUGUUUUUCUUCU
rnacentral:sRNA from 1 species